GUAAAAUCAGCUUUCUGAAUCAUUGUAGUAGUUCUAAUCAUUGCAGAUAUCUUCUUUAUUUUUAUUGCCUUUUUUCAUUGGGCUGGGACUUCCGAUACAAAGUUGGGAAAAAGGGAACAUGGGAAUGCUCUGUCGGCUCAUCAGUAAGUGUCAGGCCUACCAUGGUUUUCAGAGAUGCACUUUAGUAAAGUAAGGAAGUUUCCUUCUAUUCCUAAAAAUUUUUACAAGUAUUUCAUUCAUUCUUCAAACCACUCUAAUCUAGAUCCCUGGUGAGUUUUGCUGCCACCAUUUCAUCCAGGUCACUGGUCACCUUCAUCUUGCCCAAUCUAGUGAAGACUCCUCUGAAUUCAUCCUUUUGGAUUUCAUCAAAGCAUGUGAUACAGCCGCCCUCUCCCACUCCUGGAAUCCACUUCUCUAGACUUCUCUCUGGCCCCUCCUUUUGGUCAUCUCUGGCAACUCUCCUCUACUGGACUCCUUAUGAGAGUCUCCCAGGGUUGGUGCUCAGGUUCAAGAUUUCUUCCAUAUUCCCACAACUCUAAAUCCCAUCACACUUACAUGCCAGCACUGGUCCCUCCUCCAGCUCCAGACUCCUACCUCUUCCUGCCCUCUUGAUUUUCUUCCCCAGCAUCUUCAUCUUAAGUGUCUCCAAGCAGUAACUUUAUCAGACCAUACCAAGCCAACUCUUCAAGUUCCCUUCUUCUCAGUUUCAGUCACUGGAGUCAGAAAUGGGGGCACUUCCCUUGAUUUCACCCUCUCCCUCACCCAUCAGCAAGUUUUAUCAAAUCUUCUUCCAGGAUACAUCUCAAAUCUAUUUUUUUUCCUCCCCCCAACUAUAGUCCAGGCCUCCAGAGCCUCUUGCCUAGUAAAGGCCCCUGCCUCCAUUCUUGCCCUCUUCAGUCAUUCUCCAAGAAGCCACCAGGGCAUCUUUUGAAAACACCUUCUAGUUUAACACCCGCACCCCCACCUCCUGCCAGUUUAAAACUCUGAAACAGGUUUCUGUGACACUCAGAAUAAAAUCCAGACUCCUGCCUACAGGGCUGGUGUGUAGCUGCCCUCAGUCCCUGAGGUGGUCUGGCGCCCACUUCUCUCUAACCUGAGAUCAGAACUCCUCUGCUCCCUGUGCUACAGACAUGCGGCCUUUCUUUGCUCUGCUUGUAUGCUGUGCUCUUCCACACUCUAGGGCUUUGGCAGAUUUUCUUUUCUUUGCCUGAAAUAUUCCUUCCUCUGCCCUGCCAGGCCAGGGUCCUGCGCAUCCUUCAAUUCUCAAACAUUCUCAGGUUCUCUGUUCACCCGAAUCCUCUCCCCAUUACUCUACAUGGUAGUACCCUGACCUUUAUGGAGUUUCUCUUCACUUAGUUUUUGAGUUUGUAUUCACUUAGUAAACUGUUCAACACCUAGACUGUAUGCUCUUGUGAGGACAAAACUUUCAUGUGCCUACCACAGUGCUGCCACCUGGAAACUGCCCAGUGACAUCCAGGAAGAAGGUGGGCAAGUGAGUGAUGUUUGAAGAUAUUAUAGCAUAAAGAAAAUUGCUGAAGCUGGGCACAGUGGCGCAUACCUAUAAUCCCAGCCACUCAGGAGGCUGAGACAGGAGGAUCACAAGUUCAAAACCAGCCUCAGCAAUGGUGAGACGCUAAGCAACUAGGAGACCCUGUCUCUAAAUAAAAUACAAAAUAGGGCUGGGGAUGUGGCCCAGUGGUUGAGUACCCCUGAGUUCAAUCCCCGGUACCCAAAGAUAAAAAAGAAAAUUGCUCAAAAUCAUAUAGAAAUUGAACACAUAGCUACUCUCACACAACUGACCCUCGUUUAUCUCCACAGAUUGUCAUAGAAGCAUGUGUUCAUGUGUCUGUCCAUCCACAUAUGUGCCUGUGUGGUUUCACGAGAGAAGGACAUGGAACAGGGAGAUUCAGCAAUGAGGCCACUAAGGCACAUGAGCCAUAUGUAGACAAGAGUUGGGCGACUGAGUACAUCAGAGGGUGCCAGUAGGAGAACCAAGUCACUCUUGAGGAAUGAAAGGGACAGCGUUAAUUACCCCAGGGCAACAGAUGUAAAUGGCCUAUCCCAGGCAAUCUGGAACACAAAGGUAACCUACUUUUAAUUAGCUGAAGUGCAUUGCAGUGAGUCUACCGCAAGCUCUAGAGGGCUGAGCAAGAACCCUGUGUGUGGAUUGCUGGACAUGAGUGGGUGGCCAGGGAGGACCUCACUGAGUGCUUGCAGGAGGGGAGAGGCAGCCACAUGGGCAUCUGGGAGAAGAGCAGAAGGACAGCCAGCACGUGCCCUAAGGCAGGAUUGUGCAGGCGUGCCCAGGAACAACGAGGAGGCCAUUGCCACUGGAGCAGAGUAGUCAGGGCAGGCAGGCAGCUGAGUGCAUAAGGUGCAGAGCCUUGUAAGCCAUUGGAAGAUGUUGGCUUUAUUCUGAGCACAAUAGGGAGCUAUUGCAGGCUUUUGAAGAGAGGAGAGAGAGACCAUCUCACAUCUGAGGGUCGCUUUAUUGAAAUAAUACUGUAGAAAAUCAAAGUUGGAAACAUGGAGGACAGUUAGGGUGCUAGUCCAGUAAUUCAGGCCAGCAGUCAAGGGCCUCGGAUCUGGGAGGCUGCACUGGGCAUGGUGAGCAGUUGUCAGAUUCUGGAUCUAUUUGGAGAUAGAGCCUGGAGAUUUCCUGAUGGGUUGAUGGACCUUGAAUUAGCAGAGACAGGAGUCGAGGCUGACUCCUGGGCUUUUCUCUUAGCCUUGAGAUAGAGAAAGCUCCCUGGUGGAGCAGGUUUGGGAGAUCAGUGAUCCAGGCAGAUGUCCAGGCAGGGGUGCUGAGCAGGCACUUGGGUGAAGGAGUCUAGGGUUUAGGAGAGAGUUCAGGGUGGAGAUUCAGAUGCCAGAGUCAUUAGCAUAUAAUUGGGACUUCUUCAAGAAUGGGUGGCCUCCAACCCAGAUGGACCCAAACAAGAAAUGUUCUGUUUUGGGGGGCUGGCGUUGUGGCUCAAGCGGUAGUGCGCUGGCUUGGCAUGCGAGCGGCCCCGGUUCGAUCCUCAGCACCACAUACAAACAAAAGAUGUUGUGUCUGCCGAAAACUAAAAAAAAUAUAUAUAAAAAAAGAAAUGUUCUGUUUUUCCUUCUGUUUUCAUUUUUAUGACUUAAGGUAAAAUGGAAGUGACAACAAGAAUACUAUAUAAAGCUAGUGUGUCUGCAGUGCCCUUUGAAGGAUUUGUUUUGCUUUUGUUACACAAUGCCGUUUCCUUCACCUCCAUAAGGGAAAAAAAUUGUAAACUACUAAGUUGCGUAACAGGAUGCCUUUGAGAAAUCAUUUUUAUUAAGUGAACAAUGACAACUUCCCCUUCUUCCUACCUUUUACAUUUUUAACACAAGUUCUGCUUUUCAUGAGCCAGUUGACUUGGAAUGAAAGGUCUACUUGGACCAGCAGUGAGCCUAGGCAUAACUUGUCCCUAGGUGGCGCCCCAGCUUUGUGCUACCAGGGUCCCCUUCUCAACAGCAGAUCAAUGCAGCAGCUCUCGGGAAACAUCCUUC
rnacentral:lncRNA from 1 species